rnacentral:rRNA from 1 species
UACGUAGGGUGCAAGCGUUGUCCGGAAUUAUUGGGCGUAAAGAGCUCGUAGGCGGUUUGUCGCGUCUGCUGUGAAAACUCAGGGCUUAACCCCGGGCCUGCAGUGGGUACGGGCAGACUAGAGUGCGGUAGGGGAGACUGGAAUUCCUGGUGUAGCGGUGAAAUGCGCAGAUAUCAGGAGGAACACCGGUGGCGAAGGCGGGUCUCUGGGCCGUAACUGACGCUGAGGAGCGAAAGCGUGGGGAGCGAACAGG